rnacentral:tRNA from 1 species
ACCUAGCUGGCUCAGUCUGUGGAGCGUGCGACUCUUGAUCUCAGGGUUGUGAGUUCGAGCCCCACGUUGGGUG